UUUGUACUCCCUCCGUCCGGAAAUACUUGUCAUCAGAAUGAAUAAAAGGGGAUGUAUCUAGAUGUAUUUUAGUUCUAGAUACAUCCCUUUUUAUCCAUUUUGAUGACAAGUAUUUCCGGACGGAGGGAGUAUUAC
rnacentral:pre_miRNA from 1 species